UACGUAGGGUGCAAGCGUUGUCCGGAAUUAUUGGGCGUAAAGAGCUCGUAGGCGGCUUGUCGCGUCGGCUGUGAAAUCCCGUGGCUCAACUGCGGGUCUGCAGCCGAUACGGGCAGGCUAGAGUUCGGUAGGGGGAGACUGGAAUUCCUGGUGUAGCGGUGAAAAUGCGCAGAUAUCAGGAGGAACACCGGUGGCGAAGGCGGGGUCUCUGGGCAUUUCCUGACGCUGAGGCGCGAAAGCGUGGGGGAGCAAACGGGG
rnacentral:rRNA from 1 species